AGGAUCCAACAACUGCAUACAGCGAGCAUAGGAAACACUUUGCCGAUAUCAGCAUGUCUUCAGUGUCACUGCCAUAAGCUUCCGUGACUUACUCUGUUUUAAAGUGUUUCCUAUGAAUGUAAUGAACUGUAAUGAUGAUUAAUAAAGUUGGACUCCUAAUUGUGACCAUCUAAAGUCAGACAUCUGGUCUAAAGUCGUAGACCACACCUGUCUCUACACCUGUGCUCUCUACACCUCUCUACACCUGUGCUCUCUACAUUCAAUAAAAUUAACUCUGAAAGCAAGUCAUCCUAUUUAGCUCAGACCAUUAUCUUAGGAGUGGCAUGAAUUGCCCACAGGAGGUGUGUAACUCCGUUGCCUCUAAAGAAAGUCUUGGUCGCAAGUAUGAGCUGUACAAGAAGCUACCCCAACUCUGUCCUCACCUUCUCUUCUUAAAUGUUUGCUUUUACCCCAGGAAGCUUGGAAUUUCCUCUCACAGAUAAAUUGCUGUACUGUGACCAAAAAACAUUUAGCAAAGUUAGCAAAAAAGGUCAGCAGCUGAAUAACAGACUGAUAUCAGUGUUUUGGGCUACAUUAAGGGGGUUGUAAGUACAGAAGUACAAGUGAAGAUCUUUUGGCCUAUGAGAAGGGAGCCUUGCAGUCCCUAGGUUGAGAGCUGGCCAGGAUGACUGGCCAGCACAGUGACCAUUGCAGUGACUAUGGCUCUGCUUGCCCACAUCUCAUGGUGCUCUGUCCUACAAACCUUAGCCCAGGCAGGUUGUGGCCUGGUUUCUCUUCACAUCAAAACAGCUCUCAGUUGGGGAUAAAGGCACCUAGUCAAAUGCUGGGCACACAAAGGAAGAAAAAGAAGAGGAAAUGUGGACAAUGAAGCAAAAAUGCAAGAGAUUAAAAAAGAAAAUAUGAUUAACAAGGAGUGGUAUGAAUAGCUCUAUAGACAGAAUAGGGGAAGAGAAACAAGGCUAGAGAAAGCCUUACUAUCAUCCAUUGGCAAGAAGAGGACAUAUGGACAAAGAAUGCAGAGUAAAACAAGCUUUCCAUCACCAUCAAUUGAUAAAAACAUAGAAGUUCAUCCUCAAAUACAGGUUCAUUUUCACUUCUGUCUGUCUUCAGCUCUUCAAAUAUAAGAAGUCACAUGAGCUCGCUGGAUUGUGGGGCCAUGCAGAAAAAGAAAGGAAGAAAGGAGCCUCACUUUACAAGAUAGGAAGGAAUGUUACUUUGAGAAGCAUCUGACAGACAAUCUGAAAGAUAAUUUAUCUUGACCUUUACUGGCCUGGGAAGAAGACUUUUAAGUAAAUGUUACAUGAUGGGGACUGUACCUCCAGCAUCCAGUGACCUCUCAAAUGUGUAAAUGAAUUCUUUAAAGCAUGUCAGCACUUUUAAAGGGAAGUGUCACCACUGAUGGUCACUGAUGCCUUCUGUCUUUGAAAGAGUUGCCCAGAGUCAGGAACCACUGUGUGGAAGAAGAUACCACUGUAUCAUUUAAAGCUUGAUGAAAGAACACCAGGAAAAAAAAAAAAAGUAUCAUGUAUAGAAAAAAUAAUUAUUUAUUGAAUGUUAGAAGUCCAGUGCAUUAACUGCUCUUUCAGUGCAACUGGCAUUUACAGGGUGCCAUUAGAAUUAUCAUGGGAAUUUCAGAGUUUGGUGCAAGAGAACAAAUUCUACAAUUAGUAUUUCACUGGCCAAGUAAGCUUGAUGGAAGUUAGAGAUAGUAAAAUAACAUCCUGAAAUAUUAAUAUAUCCAUUAUAAAUCCACGGUCCCUAAAUAAUGUAACCAAAAUGUAUAUGACUUCA